AGUGAACGCUGGCGGUAGGCCUAACACAUGCAAGUCGAACGGCAGCACAGGAGAGCUUGCUCUCUGGGUGGCGAGUGGCGGACGGGUGAGGAAUACAUCGGAAUCUACUCUGUCGUGGGGGAUAACGUAGGGAAACUUACGCUAAUACCGCAUACGACCUACGGGUGAAAGCAGGGGAUCUUCGGACCUUGCGCGAUUGAAUGAGCCGAUGUCGGAUUAGCUAGUUGGCGGGGUAAAGGCCCACCAAGGCGACGAUCCGUAGCUGGUCUGAGAGGAAGAGCAGCAGCACUGGAAAUGGGACACGGUCCAGACUCCUAAGGGAGGCAGCAGUGGGGAAUAUUGGACAAUGGGCGCAAGCCUGAUUCAGCCAUACCGCGUGGGUGAAGAAGGCCUUCGGGUUGUAAAGCCCUUUUGUUGGGAAAGAAAUCCAGCUGGCUAAUACCCGGUUGGGAUGACGGUACCCAAAGAAUAAGCACCGGCUAACUUCGUGCCAGCCGCCGCCGUAA
rnacentral:rRNA from 1 species